rnacentral:rRNA from 1 species
AUUGAACGCUGGCGGCAUGCUUUACACAUGCAAGUCGAACGGCAGCGCGGGGCAACCUGGCGGCGAGUGGCGAACGGGUGAGUAAUAUAUCGGAACGUACCCAAGAGUGGGGGAUAACGUAGCGAAAGUUACGCUAAUACCGCAUACGAUCUACGGAUGAAAGCAGGGGAUCUUCGGACCUUGUGCUCCUGGAGCGGCCGAUAUCUGAUUAGCUAGUUGGUGAGGUAAAGGCUCACCAAGGCGACGAUCAGUAGCUGGUCUGAGAGGACGACCAGCCACACUGGAACUGAGACACGGUCCAGACUCCUACGGGAGGCAGCAGUGGGGAAUUUUGGACAAUGGGCGCAAGCCUGAUCCAGCAAUGCCGCGUGAGUGAAGAAGGCCUUCGGGUUGUAAAGCUCUUUUGUCAGGGAAGAAACGGCGGUGGCUAAUAUCCACUGCUAAUGACGGUACCUGAAGAAUAAGCACUGGCUAACUACGUGCCAGCCGCCGCCGUAA